rnacentral:rRNA from 1 species
UACGGAGGGUGCAAGCGUUGCUCGGAAUUACUGGGCGUAAAGAGCGUGUAGGCGGUCGAUUAAGUCAGGUGUGAAAGCCCUUGGCUCAACCAAGGAAGUGCAUCUGAAACUGAUAGACUUGAGUACGGGAGAGGAGAGUGGAAUUCCUGGUGUAGAGGUGAAAUUCGUAGAUAUCAGGAGGAACACCGGUGGCGAAGGCGACUCUCUGGACCGAUACUGACGCUGAGACGAGAAAGCGUGGGGAGCAAACAGG